rnacentral:lncRNA from 1 species
UUCAUGCCCACCAGGUUCUAUGCCAAAAAUAAAUUGCCGCCCACCCUUUACUACAUUGAGAAGUAGAAGAGUCCUUCGUGAAGACUAUUAUCUAUCUCGUCGAUUUUCUAUUUUUUCUUAAUUAUCACAUGCCAAAAUUUAACAUGGGAUUUAUGAGGUAUAGAAGAGGAGGAGUCCUUCUAUGUGAAGACUCUUCUACAUCACAUAAAGCAUCAAAGAAUUAUUUCUCUGCAUGA